rnacentral:tRNA from 1 species
UACUAGGGGGUGUUUAAUAUGCAUGAAAGAUUUUGAUUCUUUAGGUAAUAAGGAGAGCUUAUUUCUAGUAU